GCUUACCGCUAUACCACCCUGAACACGCCCGAUCUCGUCUGAUCUCGGAAGCUAAGCAGGGUCGGGCCUGGUCAGUACUUGGAUGGGAGACCGCCUGGGAAUACCAGGUGCUGUAAGCU
rnacentral:rRNA from 1 species